GCAUCGGUGGGGCAUCGGGAGCCCACGACCCCUCAUAGUGAUGAGAUCACAGUCAUCGAUGGGUUGAGAGCGGGGUUCGAAUCCCUGUCGAUGCA